rnacentral:lncRNA from 1 species
AUGUUUCUGAAUUUCUCCCAUCAGGAUGUACAGAAGGCUAUGGCCAGCCUCGGUAUUCAGUUGUCUGAUCUGAAGGUGGUUGUGGACAGGAAGGACACACUCGUGACUUCUUCAAUGCAGAAGGCAGAUAAAGGUGACAAGGGAGACAAGGGGGAGUCAGGACAGAGAGGACCAUCUGGUUUAGAUGUGAGUAUGAUUACAUGGCUGAGGGUAAAAAUAAAGCGCCAUGAUGAAGAUCCCCAGGAAGACCAUAUUAGGUCCAGAUGGGGCACUUUUCAUUUUGAUGUUUAUCACAAAGUAUAUUAACUGAAUUUUGUGUUUUUUUCUUUUUUUGAUAAUAAUCUUUUCUGUCCACUUCUUGUCGAACACUAGGGUGCUCGUGGUUUUCCAGGAGAUAGGGGAACAAAAGGGGAUCAAGGGGAGCGAGGACCCAUGGGAACAACGGGGCCUCCCGGAAGAGCUAUUGGGGAACGAGGGCCAGAGGGACCCCCAGGGCCUGCAGGAGAGCCAGGCAAGCCAGGAAUACCGGGUGUUCCUGGGCGAGCUGGGGAACUGGGAGAGUCUGGAAGACCAGGAGAAAAGGUAAAGUGAAGAGCUGCGUGUCAACAAAUCAAGAUAUUCAAUUGAACUCAACAUGAUUCUGGUAAUUUGCUGUCCGUGUGUGUUUCAGGGGGAGCGGGGAGAGAGAGGUGACAAAGGGGAAUCUGUAAGUGCUCAUGUUAGGCUGAUGUCAACAUUAAUGUUUUACCUAAACAUAUUCAAAAUCAGCUGAGCAUUUCUUUCUGUUUGUCAGGGAAAAAUUGGGUUGACAGGACAAGUCGGCCCACCAGGUCAAAAGGUAAACUGCUUUUUAUCCUUGUUGGUGAUGUAGUGAAACCCUUGUGAUGUGAUAUUUAGGAAAUAUAUGAUGUAAAAUUGAGUUCAAAAACCUUUGUACUUAUGUAUGUACUGUAGGGAGCAUCUGCUGACUCGAUUUUGAUUGGUACGCCGGGGGCCAGAGGCCCUCCAGGUCUCGCAGGACAGAAGGGAGAGCCUGGUGCAGCAGGACCGCCUGGAACAAUGGGAGAACGGGUGAGAUUUACACAUAAUUGAUCUAAUACAGAACAACAUGUAGAUGUUAUACAUAAUAUCAUGUGUUUUUUCAUUUGUCCUUAAGGGUUUUGUGGGACCUCAAGGUAAUAAGGGAGACCGAGGAGAGUCUGGAGAAAAAGGACGUGAUGGCUCAUCGGUGAGUUUGAUCUCAGAUGUUUUGUACAGUUUGCUUCAAUUAUUGCUUUUCCCUUUUUACCUACAGUACUUGCUUUAUCCUCCCCUUAUUUUCUAUUUACUGUGUUUGUUAUGCACCAAAUCACCAAAGCAAAUUCCUUGUAUGUGAGAAACUACGUGGCAAUAAAACAAUUCAGAUUCUGAUCACAAACUAAAAUUUGUUUGACUCUGGCAUUUUGGGAAAUCAGUAUAUUUGCUGUCCAUGGUGUCUUUGUUGUUAUUAGACUUCUGUGCUAGCCAUGGCUUGUCUAUAAUGAACACCAUGUUCGAACAUAAGGAUGCUCAUAAGUGUACAUGGUACCAGAGCACCCUAGGCCAAAGGUCGAUGAUCGAUUUUGUGAUCGUUUCAUCUGAUCUGAGGCCGCAUGUUUUGGACACUCGGGUGAAGAGAGGGGCGGAGCUGUCAACUGAUCAUCAUCUGGUGGUGAGUUGGAUCCGGGGGUGGGGGGAAGACUCUGGAUAGACCUGGUAAGCCCAAACGUGUAGUGCGGGUGAACUGGGAACGUCUGGAGGAGGCCCCCAUCCAGGAGAUUUUCAACUCACACCUCCGGCGGAGCUUUUCUGGCAUUCCUGUGGAGGUUGGGGCAUUGAACCCGAGUGGGAAAUGUUCAAAGCUUCCAUUGCUGAAGCUGCGGCGGUGAGCUGUGGUCUCAAGGUCUUAGGUGCCUCAAGGGGCGGUAACCCUCGAACUCCGUGGUGGACACCGGUGGUCAGGGAAGCUGUCCAACUGAAGAAAGAGUCCUUUAGGGAUAUGUUAUCCCAGAGGACUCCGGAAGCAGUUGCAAGGUACCGACGGGCCCCGAAGGGCUGCAGCCUCUGCCG